rnacentral:rRNA from 1 species
ACGGGUGAGUAACGCGUGGGAAUCUACCGUGCCCUGCGGAAUAGCUCCGGGAAACUGGAAUUAAUACCGCAUACGCCCUACGGGGGAAAGAUUUAUCGGGGUAUGAUGAGCCCGCGUUGGAUUAGCUAGUUGGUGGGGUAAAGGCCUACCAAGGCGACGAUCCAUAGCUGGUCUGAGAGGAUGAUCAGCCACAUUGGGACUGAGACACGGCCCAAACUCCUACGGGAGGCAGCAGUGGGGAAUAUUGGACAAUGGGCGCAAGCCUGAUCCAGCCAUGCCGCGUGAGUGAUGAAGGCCUUAGGGUUGUAAAGCUCUUUCACCGGAGAAGAUAAUGACGGUAUUCGGAGAAGAAGCCCCGGCUAACUUCGUGCCAGCAGCCGCGGUAAUACGAAGGGGGCUAGCGUUGUUCGGAAUUACUGGGCGUAAAGCGCACGUAGGCGGAUAUUUAAGUCAGGGGUGAAAUCCCAGAGCUCAACUCUGGAACUGCCUUUGAUACUGGGUAUCUUGAGUAUGGAAGAGGUAAGUGGAAUUCCGAGUGUAGAGGUGAAAUUCGUAGA